UACAGAGGGUGCGAGCGUUGUCCGGAAUCACUGGGCGUAAAGGGCGCGUAGGCGGCUUGAUAAGCGUGCGGUGAAAUCCCGCGGCUCAACUGCGGGUCUGCAGUCGAUACGGGCAGGCUAGAGUUCGGUAGGGGAGACUGGAAUUCCUGGUGUAGCGGUGAAAUGCGCAGAUAUCAGGAGGAACACCGAUGGCGAAGGCAGGUCUCUGGGCCGAUACUGACGCUGAGGAGCGAAAGCGUGGGGGAGCGAACAGG
rnacentral:rRNA from 1 species